rnacentral:misc_RNA from 1 species
UAAAGUGCGAAAAUUGAUGCGAAUUGCACGAAUCUGUGAGUCAUCUAAUCUUUGAACGCAAAUGGCACUCUUGUGUAAGCAAGAGUAUGUCUGUUUGAGAAUCGCAAACCCGAUCUACUCUAGAUAGAGUGAGGUAUUGGCUUUAGGACGCGUAAGCGGUCUUUAGCUUGAAUGUAUUAAGGCUGAUGAGUUCCCAAUGGUGGCCUCAAUGUGUGCUAGCGGACAGAUGUUUCGAUGUCACAUUGACGGUUCCAAUGCAAGCUCUAUAAACGGCCUCCUGCUGCUGCUGGGAGGGGGACGGCGACAUGGUCAAACAUGACGUCAUCACCAUCACGGCAUCAGAUCAUCAUCUAUUACGAUCUCAAAUCAGGCAAGAUUACCCGCUGAACUUAA